UUCCCAUUGGUUUUCUUCCUAAGGUCUCAUGACGGGUCAGCUGUUGUUGACAUCACCCUGCCGCUCACAUGUCAGUCAGAGCCUUUCUGUCUGACUUCUGCCUCUGUCACUGCCAAGCUGUCCUCUGCGAGUCAGCCCUUGCCUCGGGCCACAAUCAGCUCCCAAGAAGAGCUCAGAUGAAUUUGAAAUCCACGGGCUUUUGUGCUAGUGAAAAGGAAACGGAAGCGGGACACUUAAACCCUUUAUUUUGAGAUGGAGUCUCGCUCUGUCGCCCAGGCUGGAGUGCAGUGGCACGAUCUCGGCUCACUGCAAGCUAUGCCUCCCGGGUUCACGCCAUUCUCCUGCCUCAGCCUCCUGAGUAGCUGGGACUACAGGCACCUGCCACCGCCAGGAUGGUCUCGAUCUCCUGACCUCGUGAUCCGCCUGCCUUGGCCUCCCAAAGUGCUGGGAUUACAAGCGUGAACCACUGUGCCUGGCUACAUCAAUGAAUAUUUUUGUAGGUGACCAUUAAGGACUGAAAAUAUCUAAGGUGCUUCUCACUGCAUCAUGAAGGAAUACAACAAUAAGGGCUGAGGCUGUCCUGGAGGAUAGCUAGAGAGGCGGCACUGAGGAAAGGCACACAGUGAGACUCCAGGAUGAGCCGCCCAUGCAGUGCUGAAGAUUCUGGGCUGCCCUCACAAAGCAAGAGACAAAGUCGCACUCUAUGGCCAAGGCUGCAGUGCAGUGGUGCAAUCAUAGCUCACUGCAGCGUCGAACUCCUGGGC